rnacentral:rRNA from 1 species
UCGAGAAUCUUUCGCAAUGGGCGAAAGCCUGACGAAGCGACGCCGUGUGAGCGAUGAAGGCCUUCGGGUCGUAAAGCUCUUUCGCUUGGGAACAAGGAAUGCCAACGAAUAAUUGGUAAACUUGAGUGUACCAGGUAAAGAAGCACCGGCUAACUCCGUGCCAGCAGCUGCGGUAAUACGGAGGGUGCAAGCAUUAAUCGGAUUUAUUGGGCGUAAAGGGCGCGUAGGCCGAAAUGUAAGUCAGAUGUGAAAUCCCGGGGCUCAACCCCGGAACUGCAUUUGAAACUGCAUUUCUAGAGGAUAGGCGGAGAAAAUGGAAUUCCACAAGUAGCGGUGAAAUGCGUAGAUAUGUGGAAGAACACCAGUGGCGAAGGCGGUUUUCUAGCUUACUCCUGACGCUGAGGCGCGAAAGUAAGGGGAUCAAACA